rnacentral:rRNA from 1 species
UACGAAGGGGGCUAGCGUUGUUCGGAAUUACUGGGCGUAAAGGGCGCGUAGGCGGUGUGUCAAGUCAGGCGUGAAAGCCCCGGGCUCAACCUGGGAACCGCGCUUGAGACUGGCACGCUCGAGUCCGGGAGAGGAUGGUGGAAUUCCCAGUGUAGAGGUGAAAUUCGUAGAUAUUGGGAAGAACACCGAUGGCGAAGGCGGCUCACUGGCUCAUUUCUGACGCUCAGGCGCGACAGCGUGGGGAUCAAACAGG